UCGAGUCGACUCCCAGCUACAGUGCCGGCAGACUUUUAUUCACGAGUCGACUCCUACUUCAGCCGAGUCGACUCCUACUUUAGCCGAGUCGACUCGAGCACGCUGAGAGGCACAACGGCUAGUUUUUUCUCAACUCCAACGGCUCUAUUUUUGUCUCUAACGGCUAGAUCUUUGUUCAUAAGCCAUCCAAAGCUAUAAAAUCAAGGGGAAAGCUAGGGGAGAAGUUAAGAAAGUGGGAGAAAACACAUAGGGAAGAGAUUUCAAGAGAAACCUUCCAAAAGCACAAAAGGGCCAUUCAAAGCAAAAGAGAGAAAAGAAGAGCAUCCGAGUGAAUCCCAAAGCUUCAUCUCUAACUGUGUGCUGCCUCAGUGAUCCUCUACCUCGUGCGAAAUCAGAAGAGGGUCAAGUAAAGAAGAAGCCGAGUUUCCUCAUCUAUAAAACUUGUUUGAGGGCUUCUCUUUACUCUAUUUGUUUACAUUGUUAUAUCUACUUGUUUAAGAAGCUUUGAUUUGUUUUAAACUCUUGUUCUAAUAUCUUGUAACUUGAUUCAAUCAAGGGAUUGAAUCAAGGGGUUAAGGUUUGUUGGUGAGCUAAAGGGAAAACCAACGGUGUAAGGUUGUGGUUGGUGAACCGGAGAAAACCAACUGGGUUGGAUUGUGAGCCUGUGAAAACAAUCGGAUUGGUUCUAGUCGGUGAGCCUGUGAAAACCGACCGAGUUCGUUGUGAUCUCGUGAAAACAACAAGUUAGGUUGUGAGCUUGUAAAACAACCGGCUGUAAUCUAAGGGAUUAUAGUAAAAUUUCCAAGAGGUCUUAGGGAGUGGAUGUAGAUGCUGGGGUGCACCGAACCACUAUACAUCUUUGUGUUUGUGAUGCUUUAUCUCUUGUGUUUCAUGCCUUACAUUCAUACUUAAUUGUG
rnacentral:lncRNA from 1 species